AGAAGACUGAAUGCAAAAGCAGCUUUGGGAGAAGAUAACUGCCAUGUCAUGUAAGCAGCCCUACAGAGAGGCCCAUCUGGCAAGGAACUGAGGCCUUCUGCCAACAGCCAUGUGAGUGAUCUUGGAAGCAUACUCUCCACCUUCAUCGGACAACUGAGCACCAGCUGACUACCUGACUGCAGCCAGCAGAGUCUAAUAGGAAGCCAGCUGGCCAUGCCCAAAUGUCACUUUCAGAGUACCAAUGCAAGCUCCAGUAACUGGCAAAUGAAAAGACCUGGAAGCAAUGACAGCUCAGUGCCAAUGAACAAAUCCAGAGCC